UUUGAAGACUCCUGCUCUAAGGUGCCAGAUCCCGUCUGAUUUUGGAUGCUAAGCAGGGUCAGCCCUGGAUGGUAUUUGGAGGGGAGACCACCAACAAAUCCCAGGUGCUAUUGGAA
rnacentral:rRNA from 1 species